GGGAACUGCGUUNUGAACUGGGUGACUAGAGUGUGUCAGAGGGAGGUAGAAUUCCACGUGUAGCAGUGAAAUGCGUAGAGAUGUGGAGGAGUACCGAUGGCGAAGGCAGCNUCCUGGGAUAACACUGACGUUCAUGCCCGAAAGCGUGGGUAGCAAACAGGAUUAGAUACCCUGGUAGUCCACGCCCUAAACGAUGUCGAUUAGCUGUUGGGCAGCAUGACUGCUUAGUAGCGUAGCUAACGCGUGAAAUCGACCGCCUGGGGAGUACGGUCGCAAGAUUAAAACUCAAAGGAAUUGACGGGGACCCGCACAAGCGGUGGAUGAUGUGGAUUAAUUCGAUGCAACGCGAAGAACCUUACCUGGUCUUGACAUGUACGGAACCCUCCAGAGACGGAGGGGUGCCUUCGGGAGCCGUAACACAGGUGCUGCAUGGCUGUCGUCAGCUCGUGUCGUGAGAUGUUGGGUUAAGUCCCGCAACGAGCGCAACCCUUGUCAUUAGUUGCCAUCAUUAAGUUGGGCACUCUAAUGAGACUGCCGGUGACAAGCCGGAGGAAGGUGGGGAUGACGUCAAGUCCUCAUGGCCCUUAUGACCAGGGCUUCACACGUCAUACAUUGGUCGGUACAGAGGGUAGCCAAGCCGCGAGGUGGAGCCAAUCUCACAAAACCGAUCGUAGUCCGGAUUGCACUCUGCAACUCGAGUGCAUGAAGUCGGAAUCGCUAGUAAUCGCAGGUCAGCAUACUGCGGUGAAUACGUUCCCGGGUCUUGUACACACCGCCCGUCACACCAUGGGAGUGGGGGAUAC
rnacentral:rRNA from 1 species